UACUUAUUCAGAAAGGUGGAGGGAUAUGGCCCUGUGAAACCUUGACAACCUGCUGGCAUCGGAAGAUGGUGGUAAGGUGUCAACUCCAACUCCGGUAACACGGAGAAAGAUAAGUU
rnacentral:ncRNA from 2 species